rnacentral:lncRNA from 1 species
UCAAAGAGCCAAACUUGGUAAGAAUUUGGCCAAGUGGCCGGCUAUUGAAUGAGGAAAGAAAGAGGGGAAACACAUGGUUAAAUCAUUAGGCAACAUUUGGUUACUUACUCCUAUCAAACAUUUACCAACUUCUAACAACUCCUUAGAUAUCCAAAUUUUAUUUGACCAACACAUUUGGAAAAGUUUGCAAGGUAACCACUUGGAAAUUUAAAGGGAGAAAGAGAGAAUUAGUGGGAGAAUGAAGGCACAUGGCCGGUUGAGCAUAAGAGAUAAGGAGGAGGUGUGGGGUAUUUGUAUAUACCUAUAUCCAAUAUAUCUUAUUUUGUUUCUCUUUUAUCUCUUUUAUUUUCUAGCCAAAUGAACUUAAGAGAGAGAGAGAGAG